rnacentral:rRNA from 1 species
GGUUAAGCGACUAAGCGUACACGGUGGAUGCCCUGGCAGUCAGAGGCGAUGAAGGACGUGCUAAUCUGCGAAAAGCGUCGGUAAGGUGAUAUGAACCGUUACAGCCGGCGAUGUCCGAAUGGGGAAACCCAGUGCAAUUCGUUGCACUAUCGUUAACUGAAUACAUAGGUUAACGAGGCGAACCGGGGGAACUGAAACAUCUAAGUACCCCGAGGAAAAGAAAUCAACCGAGAUUCCCCCAGUAGCGGCGAGCGAACGGGGAGCAGCCCAGAGUCUGAAUCAGCUUGUGUGUUAGUGGAACGGUCUGGAAAGUCCGACGGUACAGGGUGAUAGUCCCGUACACCAAAAUGCACAGGCUGUGAACUCGAAGAGUAGGGCGGGACACGUGGUAUCCUGUCUGAAUAUGGGGGGACCAUCCUCCAAGGCUAAAUACUCCUGACUGACCGAUAGUGAACCAGUACCGUGAGGGAAAGGCGAAAAGAACCCCGGCGAGGGGAGUGAAAAAGAACCUGAAACCGUGUACGUACAAGCAGUGGGAGCACCUUCGGGUGUGACUGCGUACCUUUUGUAUAAUGGGUCAGCGACUUAUAUUCUGUAGCAAGGUUAACCGUAUAGGGGAGCCGCAGGGAAACCGAGUCUUAACUGGGCGUUAAGUUGCAGGGUAUAGACCCGAAACCCGGUGAUCUAGCCAUGGGCAGGUUGAAGGUUGGGUAACACUAACUGGAGGACCGAACCGACUAAUGUUGAAAAAUUAGCGGAUGACUUGUGGCUGGGGGUGAAAGGCCAAUCAAACCGGGAGAUAGCUGGUUCUCCCCGAAAGCUAUUUAGGUAGCGCCUCGUGAAUUCAUCUUCGGGGGUAGAGCACUGUUUCGGCUAGGGGGUCAUCCCGACUUACCAACCCGAUGCAAACUACGAAUACCGAAGAAUGUUAUCACGGGAGACACACGGCGGGUGCUAACGUCCGUCGUGAAGAGGGAAACAACCCAGACCGCCAGCUAAGGUCCCAAAGUCAUGGUUAAGUGGGAAACGAUGUGGGAAGGCACAGACAGCCAGGAUGUUGGCUUAGAAGCAGCCAUCAUUUAAAGAAAGCGUAAUAGCUCACUGGUCGAGUCGGCCUGCGCGGAAGAUGUAACGGGGCUAAACCAUGCACCGAAGCUGCGGCAGCGACACUAUGUGUUGUUGGGUAGGGGAGCGUUCUGUAAGCCUGCGAAGGUGACCUGUGAGGGUUGCUGGAGGUAUCAGAAGUGCGAAUGCUGACAUAAGUAACGAUAAAGCGGGUGAAAAGCCCGCUCGCCGGAAGACCAAGGGUUCCUGUCCAACGUUAAUCGGGGCAGGGUGAGUCGACCCCUAAGGCGAGGCCGAAAGGCGUAGUCGAUGGGAAACAGGUUAAUAUUCCUGUACUUGGUGUUACUGCGAAGGGGGGACGGAGAAGGCUAUGUUAGCCGGGCGACGGUUGUCCCGGUUUAAGCAUGUAGGCUGGUUAUCCAGGCAAAUCCGGAUAAUCAAGGCUGAGGUGUGAUGACGAGGCACUACGGUGCUGAAGUAACAAAUGCCCUGCUUCCAGGAAAAGCCUCUAAGCAUCAGGUAACAUUAAAUCGUACCCCAAACCGACACAGGUGGUCAGGUAGAGAAUACCAAGGCGCUUGAGAGAACUCGGGUGAAGGAACUAGGCAAAAUGGUGCCGUAACUUCGGGAGAAGGCACGCUGGUGUGUAGGUGAAGUCCCUGCGGAUGGAGCUGAGACCAGUCGAAGAUACCAGCUGGCUGCAACUGUUUAUUAAAAACACAGCACUGUGCAAACACGAAAGUGGACGUAUACGGUGUGACGCCUGCCCGGUGCCGGAAGGUUAAUUGAUGGGGUUAUCCGUAAGGAGAAGCUCUUGAUCGAAGCCCCGGUAAACGGCGGCCGUAACUAUAACGGUCCUAAGGUAGCGAAAUUCCUUGUCGGGUAAGUUCCGACCUGCACGAAUGGCGUAAUGAUGGCCAGGCUGUCUCCACCCGAGACUCAGUGAAAUUGAACUCGCUGUGAAGAUGCAGUGUACCCGCGGCAAGACGGAAAGACCCCGUGAACCUUUACUAUAGCUUGACACUGAACAUUGAGCCUUGAUGUGUAGGAUAGGUGGGAGGCUUUGAAGCGUGGACGCCAGUCUGCGUGGAGCCAACCUUGAAAUACCACCCUUUAAUGUUUGAUGUUCUAACGUUGGCCCCUUACCGGGGUUGCGGACAGUGUCUGGUGGGUAGUUUGACUGGGGCGGUCUCCUCCCAAAGCGUAACGGAGGAGCACGAAGGUUAGCUAAUCCUGGUCGGACAUCAGGAGGUUAGUGCAAUGGCAUAAGCUAGCUUGACUGCGAGCGUGACGGCGCGAGCAGGUGCGAAAGCAGGUCAUAGUGAUCCGGUGGUUCUGAAUGGAAGGGCCAUCGCUCAACGGAUAAAAGGUACUCCGGGGAUAACAGGCUGAUACCGCCCAAGAGUUCAUAUCGACGGCGGUGUUUGGCACCUCGAUGUCGGCUCAUCACAUCCUGGGGCUGAAGUAGGUCCCAAGGGUAUGGCUGUUCGCCAUUUAAAGUGGUACGCGAGCUGGGUUUAGAACGUCGUGAGACAGUUCGGUCCCUAUCUGCCGUGGGCGCUGGAGAAUUGAGGGGGGCUGCUCCUAGUACGAGAGGACCGGAGUGGACGCAUCACUGGUGUUCGGGUUGUCAUGCCAAUGGCACUGCCCGGUAGCUAAAUGCGGAAGAGAUAAGUGCUGAAAGCAUCUAAGCACGAAACUUGCCCCGAGAUGAGUUCUCCCUGAGACUUUAAGUCUCCUGAAGGAACGUUGAAGACGACGACGUUGAUAGGCCGGGUGUGUAAGCGCAGCGAUGCGUUGAGCUAACCGGUACUAAUGAACCGUGAGGCUUAACCUU